UGGAACCCCAGACAUGAGAGUUGCUCAGGGUUCUCUCUUAAUUGAAGUCAUGAUGACUUCUUUUGACCCGUAAAAUUUUUAGAGGUAGAAGCUGUUGCCAUUAAUUUGAGGCCUUCUUUUCUGUAAUAGACCUGCAGUCUCACACCACAUGAUGAUAUUUCAGUUGAUGAUGGACCACAUAUACGAUGGUGGUUCUAUAAGAUGAGGACACUGAGAUUCUGAGAGGCCAAACAACUUGUCCAGGGUCACCCAGCAAACACAAGCAGAAAUAGAACCUGGAUUGAGGUUUGUCACAAGCCUGGAGUAGAGCAGAGCCUCCUUACCUUUGAAGUCGUGGACCAACCCCUUGAGUGUCUUCUUCCAGAUGCCAUUUAUACAUUCCUCGGUGAGAUCACCCCAAGCCCAAGCAAGUGUUCGGUGCACCUUACAGUUAAUUCCUUUGUCCAUCCCUCCAUCCACUUGCCCUCAAUCCAUCCUUCCAGCCAUCGAACAAGUGCUCAGUUUCCAAGCCAGUCCUCUCUGCCAGGAGCUGGCGACUCAGAGCCACUGAGGAGCAGCUGGAGAUUCUUGCAGCAUAGCCUGGUAGACAGAAGCAAACAAGAGUCGACCGCACAGCAAUUAAUUAGUGCUAAUUACCGCACAAAGCUACUUUCUGAAAAUAAAUUAUAAGGUCACCAUCCUAUGGAAGAUUUGACAAUGACCAGGCCUCUCUCUUCUAGUGGGGCCAGAUGGAUGAACCCUAAUUUACACAAAAAGGUUGGGAUGGACCUUUUCAGUCUUGAAGGUUGGGAAGAGGAGAGGAUAUAUGAACUUCUAUUUCCCGUGACCAUUCGAGAAGCUAUGUUAGCGAGCAGGCCAUUGGGCACGUCAGGAUCAACACAGAAAGCAAAGUCAGAUCACAAGACCCCUGAGUGACUGGGAUGCAGCCUGCUAGACUGGACACACCCCCCACCUGCUGAGCUCUCUGGAGGUGCCGAGAGCCAAAGUACACACCAACGUCCAACAGUAUCUGCAUUAUGGUAGAAUGCCACUUGAAGCAAAUGUGUCCAUCGGAGUGAAUGACAGUCACCACCAGCAAUCCCAUCCUUCCAGUCAGUCUUGGAAGCCUUCUUAGAGCCGAGAAGUACCUAAAAACCAUGACUUAGCAAAGACUUAGAAAUUGUCCUUCCAUAGCAUUUAACAACCCAAAUAGCUUGUGCCAUUUAUUUGCUUUCUUAAUACAGGGACUCUUUAGUUCCCAACAGCUAACUGCUAGGAAUAGAUUGUGAUGUAGAGCUCUACCAUUAAUCCUGAAAGAAAUUAGCUAAACUUCCGAGUGAGAAGACUCAUGUGUCUGUUUCCUCAGCUCCCUAAAUAUGUCUUCAACUAUCACACACUAUAACUAUGAAAUAUGACUUCCUAACAGUCAAGCGCAUGACGGGAAAAGAGACGCUUCC
rnacentral:lncRNA from 1 species